AACCAGUAGCCCAUCGAAGGACCUGAUGGAGCCUAUCGGUGAGAUUAAUAGGGGCUGUCCCUCGGAAUGCAUCACGUUUGGUAACGCAAUAAACUGACUUCCAACCCCUGUUGUGCAUCCUGUAUCCUGUGACAACAUCUUCAGUAACUGAACCAUAAAUCCAUCCGACACGUUGUCCCCACUCUGUCUUGUCCUCGUACCAGCAGGAGAUGACACUGAUGGCCUCUGCAACAGUUGAUGCAUCAAGAUGCUCCCGAGGAAUGGUCAAAGCACCAGGCGGCCGUCCAUUCUUCACAGCUGGAUGAUCUGCCAAAGGACGACCUUGGAACUCCGCCACAGGGAUUGAAUCAAUAAGGACUGCUGAGUUACCAAAAGCCUUAGGAGCCAGUGAGAGGUUCAUUUCGUCAUCGUCCGAAUCACCUAGCCGCAAGGCCCGAUGCUCUUCUGGUGCAUUAACAUGCUUUC
rnacentral:lncRNA from 1 species